UACGGGGGGUGCGAGCGUUGUCCGGAAUCACUGGGCGUAAAGGGCGCGUAGGUGGUUUGAUAAGGGUGUGGUGAAAGUCCGGGGCUCAACCCCGGAUCUGCCGUGCCGACUGUCAAACUCGAGGGCUGUAGAGGCAGACGGAAUUCCGGGUGUAGCGGUGGAAUGCGUAGAGAUCCGGAGGAAGACCGGUGGCGAAGGCGGUCUGCUGGGCAGUUUCUGACACUGAUGCGCGACAGCGUGGGGAGCAAACAG
rnacentral:rRNA from 1 species